GGCCUGGUGACUGAGUGGUUUAAAGUAACAGUUUUGAAAACUGUCGAUGGUGAUACAUCCGUCCGUUCGAAUCGGACCCAGGUCG
rnacentral:tRNA from 1 species